CGUCUCGGGUGGUUCUGGCCGGUGGUCUUGUGCCGCGCCGUUCCCGGCCACGUGAGCGGCUCUGCUCACUCCCAGUCGCUUUUAGGGACUGGCGCUUCUUCCUUGCAUCUUCAGGGGCUGAGGUCUUGAAGGCGGGCUGCUUGCGCAUCCGUCUCGUCAGUUUUGAGAGGAAGCGCUUGUCCCCGCCCACGAAGGUGUCGUCGUUUUCUGGCGUGGCGCUAGGAGCACGCUAGGGUCCUGCGCCUGCUCUUACCGCAUGGAGGUUUUCUGUCCGUGCGUCGUCGCUCUCGCCGACCAACUUGGCUUGUAUUUUGAGGCGUGUUGUUGUUGGCGUUCUGUGUAGGGUUCGCCUGUGGUUGUGGUGUCUUGGCUUGGAGCCGCCCUGCCCGGGGGUGUCGAGUCAGGGCAAGGUGGCACAGGAACGAUGAGAGGCUAUGGCUUAUGUGUCAAAGUGCCUUGCUUCUUUGGGGGAAAUGAUGUGUGGCCCUCCUAGAUCGAGCGGCCGUUGUCAGUGGGUGAGAAGAAGAAUUCCCAUGGUGUUUUGUGGCUUCCCAGGGGCUGACGGUAGCUGUCGGGGAGAGGGAGCUCCUGCGUCAGCGGAGCAGAGAGCAUCUCAAGGACAUUCCGGCUUGGAUGUGGGUCGGGCGUAAUGCUUGGUUUACGGUGCUUAGAUGGCAGAGCAGGCCUAGCUGGGCUCUCGAUGGGCUUGCUACCUGGGAACAAGGCCUGUGGAAUGGCUAAGCUAUUGCUGUUCAUUGAGGGGACUUGUUUGAUAUUUUGGCAGAUGCCGAGGGAGGAGUCGUGCAGGGCGACGGAGGAGGGCCGAGGAUAGCGCUGUAAGCAGGUGGUGGUCGAGCUUGAACAUGGCAGUUGGAACUGAUGGCGUCCAGGUGCCGCAAUCAGCCUUCAGAGGGGAGACGACGCAUGGCGACGAGGGGUCCGAGAAGACUGUGUGCGGCUGCCUUUGGGACUGGAUGCGCGUUUGAGGGGCCACAAGGGAGGACAACAGUGUGAGUUGGGCACGGCCACAGAGCAAGUGAGCAGAGCAGCUGGGCGCAUCUGAGGUAGACGGAUGCAGCGGCCUAGGUCUUUGUAGAGUGAUGGGAUGCUGACUGACAGGGCUGUUGUGUGGGGCUUGUGAUAGUUUUUGUUUUUUUCAGAUGACGAAGAGGCAGCUGGUGACUGGAGGAGUGACGUGUGCUUGUCCUCCAGAAGGAAGGGAAGAGGGAGAGACUCGGCCCCUUGAAAGCUAAGUUGAGGCAACGGUGCUGGGGAAGGGGUUGGGGGAGCGAGGGGGGGCACGGUUGGCUGUGGCAGGAAGGGGUUCUAAAGAGAGCGUAGGGGAGAGGGUUGUCUAGGAAGCGGUCCCCUUUGAGCAGGGGAAUGGAGCGGGUUCCUCUGAAAUAUGACAGUAGUGUGCCCUGGGCAGGGCGGUUCCAGGCUGUGCGUGUCGUUGUGUAGUGCGUCUGUGUGUUGGGUGUGUUUGACCUUCCUCGGGUCUCGGGUGUUCUUUGUUCCGCAGGAUCUCGAGGCAGGUGCCUCGGCAGCGUUAGUAGGGCCCGGCGAGGCCCUAGUCGUGGGCACGGCGCCCAUCGGGCGCUUCUCUUUUGGCGUCGCAAGCUUCCGGCGUGGAUCGUUUUGGCGUCUCGGGUGGUUCUGGCCGGUGGUCUUGUGCCGCGCCGUUCCCGGCCACGUGAGCGGCUCUGCUCACUCCCAGUCGCUUUUAGGGACUGGCGCUUCUUCCUUGCAUCUUCAGGGGCUGAGGUCUUGAAGGCGGGCUGCUUGCGCAUCCGUCUCGUCAGUUUUGAGAGGAAGCGCUUGUCCCCGCCCACGAAGGUGUCGUCGUUUUCUGGCGUGGCGCUAGGAGCACGCUAGGGUCCUGCGCCUGCUCUUACCGCAUGGAGGUUUUCUGUCCGUGCGUCGUCGCUCUCGCCGACCAACUUGGCUUGUAUUUUGAGGCGUGUUGUUGUUGGCGUUCUGUGUAGGGUUCGCCUGUGGUUGUGGUGUCUUGGCUUGGAGCCGCCCUGCCCGGGGGUGUCGAGUCAGGGCAAGGUGGCACAGGAACGAUGAGAGGCUAUGGCUUAUGUGUCAAAGUGCCUUGCUUCUUUGGGGGAAAUGAUGUGUGGCCCUCCUAGAUCGAGCGGCCGUUGUCAGUGGGUGAGAAGAAGAAUUCCCAUGGUGUUUUGUGGCUUCCCAGGGGCUGACGGUAGCUGUCGGGGAGAGGGAGCUCCUGCGUCAGCGGAGCAGAGAGCAUCUCAAGGGCGUUCCGGCUUGGAUGUGGGUCGGGCGUAAUGCUUGGUUUACGGUGCUUAGAUGGCAGAGCAGGCCUAGCUGGGCUCUCGAUGGGCUUGCUACCUGGGAACAAGGCCUGUGGAAUGGCUAAGCUAUUGCUGUUCAUUGAGGGGACUUGUUUGAUAUUUUGGCAGAUGCCGAGGGAGGAGUCGUGCAGGGCGACGGAGGAGGGCCGAGGAUAGCGCUGUAAGCAGGUGGUGGUCGAGCUUGAACAUGGCAGUUGGAACUGAUGGCGUCCAGGUGCCGCAAUCAGCCUUCAGAGGGGAGACGACGCAUGGCGACGAGGGGUCCGAGAAGACUGUGUGCGGCUGCCUUUGGGACUGGAUGCGCGUUUGAGGGGCCACAAGGGAGGACAACAGUGUGAGUUGGGCACGGCCACAGAGCAAGUGAGCAGAGCAGCUGGGCGCAUCUGAGGUAGACGGAUGCAGCGGCCUAGGUCUUUGUAGAGUGAUGGGAUGCUGACUGACAGGGCUGUUGUGUGGGGCUUGUGAUAGUUUUUGUUUUUUUCAGAUGACGAAGAGGCAGCUGGUGACUGGAGGAGUGACGUGUGCUUGUCCUCCAGAAGGAAGGGAAGAGGGAGAGACUCGGCCCCUUGAAAGCUAAGUUGAGGCAACGGUGCUGGGGAAGGGGUUGGGGGAGCGAGGGGGGGCACGGUUGGCUGUGGCAGGAAGGGGUUCUAAAGAGAGCGUAGGGGAGAGGGUUGUCUAGGAAGCGGUCCCCUUUGAGCAGGGGAAUGGAGCGGGUUCCUCUGAAAUAUGACAGUAGUGUGCCCUGGGCAGGGCGGUUCCAGGCUGUGCGUGUCGUUGUGUAGUGCGUCUGUGUGUUGGGUGUGUUUGACCUUCCUCGGGUCUCGGGUGUUCUUUGUUCCGCAGGAUCGAGGCAGGUGCCUCGGCAGCGUUAGUAGGGCCCGGCGAGGCCCUAGUCGUGGGCACGGCGCCCAUCGGGCGCUUCUCUUUUGGCGUCGCAAGCUUCC